AUUGAACGCUGGCGGCAUGCCUUACACAUGCAAGUCGAACGGUAACAGGUCUUCGGAUGCUGACGAGUGGCGCACGGGUGAGUAAUACAUCGGAACGUGCCCGAUCGUGGGGGAUAACGAAGCGAAAGCUUUGCUAAUACCGCAUACGAUCUACGGAUGAAAGCAGGGGACCGCAAGGCCUUGCGCGAACGGAGCGGCCGAUGGCAGAUUAGGUAGUUGGUGGGAUAAAAGCUUACCAAGCCGACGAUCUGUAGCUGGUCUGAGAGGACGACCAGCCACACUGGGACUGAGACACGGCCCAGACUCCUGCGGGAGGCAGCAGUGGGGAAUUUUGGACAAUGGGCGAAAGCCUGAUCCAGCCAUGCCGCGUGCAGGAUGAAGGCCUUCGGGUUGUAAACUGCUUUUGUACGGAACGAAAAGACUCUGGUUAAUACCUGGGGUCCAUGACGGUACCGUAAGAAUAAGCACCGGCUAACUACGUG
rnacentral:rRNA from 1 species